rnacentral:lncRNA from 1 species
AUGGAGAAGGUUACAGUUUCAGCUGGGAAAGGAAAGGCCGGGUUGGCUGCGGAGAGGGAGAGACUGGAGAAAAAAUAUAUCGGAACCUAUCCAAAGGAACGGUGGAUCCUGCGCAAAGAGGGAGAGACAUGUGCUGCCCUAAGAAUCGAGCGUCGGACUAAGAGAAAAACGACCAGAUUUUCUCGAUCCGCGUACCCAUGGAAUAUAUCCAAAGAACAGUCUUUCCCUCAAAGAAUUCUGGGCACCGUAGUUUUCUCCUCGCAGGGUGACAAUUGCCAGCAGCCCAUCCUAAACUACAGAGCCCAGAAUUCUUUGAGGGUGAGGAAUGUUCUUUGGGCGCCCUUUCACUGCGAUUCCUGCGUGGCAGAAGGUAGACUAGAAUGGCACUUGGAGAUCCCUCUCCACUCUACAGGUUUACGGUUCUAUAAAGGUCCAGUACGCGCGCGCGCAAAAUAUAUAUAUCUGGGAAGAGUUGGCGGGGAGAGAAGCGGCGGCGGCGGCGAGCAAGAGGGAAAAAAUCAAGAAAAAUGGUCUGCAAGAGAGAGAGAUAGAGAUCCAACCGACCUGCUUUCUUCCGUCUCCGUUUGCCUGCUCCGAGUCGGGCUCUCUUCCCCGCGAAGCCGGUUCCACUCCGGAGCAGCGCCGAGGCGCAGCCUGCUGUGUCAGCGCCCGCGCUCCGGGGGCCAGGGAGCCUUGAUCACGCUGGUCACCCAGCUGAAAAACACUCGAAAAAAAGUCCGCAAGUGGCCCGCGGGAGGCUCCUGGCCCGUCUCUGCAGGCUGCCUGCCUCGGGCGGCCGCAGGAGCAACACGCCUCGCUCCUGCCGGAGGAGAGAAAGAGAGAGGUGCAAAGGCGUCAGGCGCCUCCGGCCCAGCCCCCUCGCCCAGGACCUCGCCAAGCAAGGCUUCUGCUGACGCUUCCCACCUCUUCCCUCCUCCUCCUCCGGUCCUCCCCCUCCCCUUUCCCCACUUUCUUGCCUCCUGGCCUCGCCACACCAUAGGAACACACAGGGAGUUGCUUUCCCAUGACUCAGACCAAUGUCCAGCCAACUCAGUGGCGUCUGCACGGGCCGGCAGCAGCAGGGUUUCAGGCAAGGAGGAGGCACCCUGCUAG